rnacentral:rRNA from 1 species
GGACUACUGGGGUUUCUAAUCCCGUUCGCUCCCCCAGCUUUCGCGCCUCAGCGUUAGGAACGGCCCAAGAAGCCGCCUUCGCCACCGGUGUUCCGACUGAUAUCUACGCAUUUCACCGCUACACCAGCCAUUCCACUUCUCCCUGCCGCCCUCAAGACCCAUAGUAUCGGCCGACCCUCCGGGGUUGAGCCCCGGGCUUUCACAGCCGACUUACGGACCCGCCUACGCGCGCUUUACGCCCAGUAACUUCGGACAACGCUCGCCCCCUACGUAUUACCGCGGCUGCUGGCAC